AUUGAACGCUGGCGGCAGGCCUAACACAUGCAAGUCGAACGAGUGGCGGACGGGUGAGUAAUGUCUGGGAACCUGCCUGAUGGAGGGGGAUAAAUACUGGAAACGGUAGCUAAUACCGCAUACCAUCAGAUGUGCCCAGAUGGGAUUGGCUUGGUGGUGGGGUAAAGGCUACCCAAGGCGACGAACCCUAGCUGGUCUGAGAGGAUGACCAGCAACACGGGAACUGGGCCACGUUCCGGACGCCUACGGUAGGCAGCAGUGGGGAAUAUUGACCAAGGGGCGCAAGCCUGAUGCAGCCAUGCCGCGUGUGUGAAGAAGGCCUUCGGGUUGUAAAGUACUUUCAGCGGGGAGGCGUUACCCGCAGAAGAAGCACCGGCUAACUCCGUGCCAGCAGCCGCGGUAAUAC
rnacentral:rRNA from 1 species